UACGGAGGAUCCGAGCGUUAUCCGGAUUUAUUGGGUUUAAAGGGUGCGUAGGCGGCCUUUUAAGUCAGCGGUGAAAUGCCCCCGCUCAACGGGGUGAAGUGCCAUUGAUACUGCCUUGCUGGAAUGCGGAUGCCGUGGGAGGAAUGUGUGGUGUAGCGGUGAAAUGCAUAGAUAUCACACAGAACACCGAUUGCGAAGGCAUCUUACCAAGCUACUUCUGACGUUGAGGCACGAAAGCGUGGGGAGCAAACAGG
rnacentral:rRNA from 1 species